rnacentral:rRNA from 4 species
UCGAACGAACUCUGGUAUUGAUUGGUGCUUGCAUCAUGAUUUACAUUUGAGUGAGUGGCGAACUGGUGAGUAACACGUGGGAAACCUGCCCAGAAGCGGGGGAUAACACCUGGAAACAGAUGCUAAUACCGCAUAACAACUUGGACCGCAUGGUCCGAGUUUGAAAGAUGGCUUCGGCUAUCACUUUUGGAUGGUCCCGCGGCGUAUUAGCUAGAUGGUGGGGUAACGGCUCACCAUGGCAAUGAUACGUAGCCGACCUGAGAGGGUAAUCGGCCACAUUGGGACUGAGACACGGCCCAAACUCCUACGGGAGGCAGCAGUAGGGAAUCUUCCACAAUGGACGAAAGUCUGAUGGAGCAACGCCGCGUGAGUGAAGAAGGGUUUCGGCUCGUAAAACUCUGUUGUUAAAGAAGAACAUAUCUGAGAGUAACUGUUCAGGUAUUGACGGUAUUUAACCAGAAAGCCACGGCUAACUACGUGCCAGCAGCCGCGGUAAUACGUAGGUGGCAAGCGUUGUCCGGAUUUAUUGGGCGUAAAGCGAGCGCAGGCGGUUUUUUAAGUCUGAUGUGAAAGCCUUCGGCUCAACCGAAGAAGUGCAUCGGAAACUGGGAAACUUGAGUGCAGAAGAGGACAGUGGAACUCCAUGUGUAGCGGUGAAAUGCGUAGAUAUAUGGAAGAACACCAGUGGCGAAGGCGGCUGUCUGGUCUGUAACUGACGCUGAGGCUCGAAAGUAUGGGUAGCAAACAGGAUUAGAUACCCUGGUAGUCCAUACCGUAAACGAUGAAUGCUAAGUGUUGGAGGGUUUCCGCCCUUCAGUGCUGCAGCUAACGCAUUAAGCAUUCCGCCUGGGGAGUACGGCCGCAAGGCUGAAACUCAAAGGAAUUGACGGGGGCCCGCACAAGCGGUGGAGCAUGUGGUUUAAUUCGAAGCUACGCGAAGAACCUUACCAGGUCUUGACAUACUAUGCAAAUCUAAGAGAUUAGACGUUCCCUUCGGGGACAUGGAUACAGGUGGUGCAUGGUUGUCGUCAGCUCGUGUCGUGAGAUGUUGGGUUAAGUCCCGCAACGAGCGCAACCCUUAUUAUCAGUUGCCAGCAUUAAGUUGGGCACUCUGGUGAGACUGCCGGUGACAAACCGGAGGAAGGUGGGGAUGACGUCAAAUCAUCAUGCCCCUUAUGACCUGGGCUACACACGUGCUACAAUGGAUGGUACAACGAGUUGCGAACUCGCGAGAGUAAGCUAAUCUCUUAAAGCCAUUCUCAGUUCGGAUUGUAGGCUGCAACUCGCCUACAUGAAGUCGGAAUCGCUAGUAAUCGCGGAUCAGCAUGCCGCGGUGAAUACGUUCCCGGGCCUUGUACACACCGCCCGUCACACCAUGAGAGUUUGUAACACCCAAAGUCGGUGGGGUA